rfam:Gossypium raimondii Chr01_contig_580, whole genome shotgun sequence.
GCAUCCAUUGUCUAAUGGAUAGGACAGAAGUAAUUUAAACCUUUGGUAUAGGUUCAAAUCCUAUUGGACGCA